rnacentral:rRNA from 1 species
AACGAACGCUGGCGGCAGGCCUAACACAUGCAAGUCGAACGCCCCGCAAGGGGAGUGGCAGACGGGUGAGUAACGCGUGGGAACGUGCCCCAAGGUACGGAACAACGCCGGGAAACUGGCGCUAAUACCGUAUGCGUCCGCAAGGAGAAAGAUUUAUCGCCUUGGGAUCGGCCCGCAUUGGAUGAGCUAGUUGGCGGUGUAAUGGACCACCAAGGCGACGAUCCAUAGCUGGUCUGAGAGGACGACCAGCCACACUGGGACUGAGACACGGCCCAGACUUCUACGGGAGGCAGCAGUGGGGAAUCUUGGACAAUGGGCGCAAGCCUGAUCCAGCCAUGCCGCGUGAAUGAUGAAGGCCUUAGGGUUGUAAAAUUCUUUCGCCAGGGAAGAUAAUGACUGUACCUGGAGAAGAAGCCCCGGCUAACUCCGUGCCAGCAGCCGCCGUAAAAC